rnacentral:rRNA from 1 species
GAUCAUGGCUCAGGAUGAACGCUAGCUACAGGCUUAACACAUGCAAGUCGAGGGGCAGCAUGAACUUAGCUUGCUAAGUUUGAUGGCGACCGGUGCACGGGUGAGUAACACGUAUCCAACCUUCCGUUUACUCAGGGAUAGCCUUUCGAAAGAAAGAUUAAUACCUGAUAGUAUGGUGAGAUUGCAGUGAUAGCACCAUUAAAGAUUUAUUGGUAAACGAUGGGGAUGCGUUCCA